GAUGAAGAACGUAGCAAAAUGCGAUACUUGGUGUGAAUUGCAGAAUCCCGUGAACCAUCGAGUUUUUGAACGCAAGUUGCGCCCGAAGCCUUUUGGCCGAGGGCACGUCUGCCAGGGCGUCACGCAUCGCGUCGCCCCCCACAAUUCUCCGUAAAGGGAACGUGUGUUUUGGGGGCGGAUAUUGGUCUCCCGUGCUCAUGGCGUGGUUGGCCGAAAUAGGAGUCCUUUCGAUGGACGCACGAACUAGUGGUGGUCGUAAAAACCCUCGUCUUUUGUUUCGUGCUGUUGCUCGCAAGGUAAACUCUUUAAAAACCCCAAUGUGUCGUCUCUUGACGACGCUUCGACCGCGACCCCAGGUCAGGCGGGACUACCCGCUGAGUUUAAGCAUAUCAAUAAGCGGAGGA
rnacentral:misc_RNA from 1 species